AUAAGAUUUACAGGUAGGAAAGUAGAUGAGAAAUUUCCAAGCAGAGUAAGGAGCCAAAGCCUUUGAAACAAGAAAGCCCACAAGACUCUGCAAUUAUUUGCACAUGCUCUCUGCUUUGGAGGGUCCAUCAAUAAUUGCAGCAGUAUUCUCCAAGAAGGUUGUCAUUGUUCGGUUGCCCAGUCAUGUCCAACUCUUUGUGACCCCAUGGACGUCAGCAUACCAGGCCUUUCUGUCGCUCACCACCUCCUGGAGUUUAUCCAAGUUCAUGUCCAUUGCAUUGGUGAUGCCAUCCAGCCAUGUCAUGAAAAACAUGAGCAACACGAACGACCCUAUAUUACACUUUUGGCAUGUCACUCAAUAAACUUCUUGGGUUAUUAA